rnacentral:rRNA from 1 species
GAUGAACGCUAGCGGCAGGCUUAAUACAUGCAAGUCGUGGGGCAGCAUGAAGUAGCAAUACUUUGAUGGCGACCGGCAAACGGGUGCGGAACACGUACACAACCUUCCUUUUAGUGGGGAAUAGCCCAGAGAAAUUUGGAUUAAUACCCCGUAACAUAGCGAUGUGGCAUCACAUUGCUAUUAUAGCUUCGGCGCUAGAUGAUGGGUGUGCGUAUGAUUAGAUAGUUGGCGAGGUAACGGCUCACCAAGUCUACGAUCAUUAGCUGAUGUGAGAGCAUGAUCAGCCACACGGGCACUGAGACACGGGCCCGACUCCUACGGGAGGCAGCAGUAAGGAAUAUUGGUCAAUGGACGAAAGUCUGAACCAGCCAUGCCGCGUGAAGGAUUAAGGUCCUCUGGAUUGUAAACUUCUUUUAUAUGGGACGAAAAAAGGUCUUUCUAGAUCACUUGACGGUACCAUAUGAAUAAGCACCGGCUAACUCCGUGCCAGCCGCCGCAGUAACAC